UUUCCCUCAGGAUAGCUGGUGCAUUUAAAAUUUAUGUAAAAUAAUCUUAUCUGGUAAAGCGAAUGAUUAGAGCCCUUAGGGUCGAAACGAUCAUAACCUAUUCUCAAACCUUAAAUGGAUAAGAACCUCACCUUUCUUGGUAUGCCGGUUGUAGUUGUGGCAUCA
rnacentral:ncRNA from 1 species